UACUAUGAAUAGUGUGUAUUUUAACCACGUUUUAGUGGAUCGAGUGUAUCGCUGCCUUUGGAAUAAACAAACAUUAAGUUAGUAACAUGGAGAGAAAAUCGGAUUCGAAAAAGCAGGGUCAAUACUGAGGCGUGGAAUGAGGAAGAAUCGCAGUAACUCAAGCUGAGCGGUCGCUAGGGUCGCUAGGCGCAGGCGCUAAACCGAGCUGAGUACGACGCGUGGGUGGCGCCUACCGGCUGCAACUCAACUAAACAGAACCCGUCGCAUGGGUCAAUACUGAGGCGUGGAAUGAGGAAGAAUCGCAGUAACUCAAGCUGAGCGGUCGCUAGGGUCGCUAGGCGCAGGCGCUAAACCGAGCUGAGUACGACGCGUGGGUGGCGCCUACCGGCUGCAACUCAACUAAACAGAACCCGUCGCAUGGGUCGAUACUGAGGCGUGGAAUGAGGAAGAAUCGCAGUAACUCAAGCUGAGCGGUCGCUAGGGUCGCUAGGGUCAAUACUGAGGCGUGGAAUGAGGAAGAAUCGCAGUAACUCAGCCGAGCGGUCGCUAGGGUCGCUAGAUGCAGUAGAACGAAGAAGAAGCUGGCAACUUGAAUGCAAGUGUGCAUUAGAUGGCGCCACCAUAGCUUUGCCCGGACAAGAGUUUUGCUCUAUGAGAUUUGACUUCUAAUAUUAAAAUACUUGGACCGAUUCAGGGAGAAGAACGCGCUUUAUCAGCACACUCACGCUCCUUUGAAAGCAAAAGCAUAAUAUUAUUGUUAAUGUAUUUUUUUUUCUAGUAUGUAACUUGUAACGUAAUGUAACGUGUGUUGUCAUGUAACUACUGAAUUUUUGAUUGACAAAUAAGUUAUCAGUUAGUUAGUUGUAUUAGGUAAUUAAUUUAAUUGAAAUUGUGCACACAUGCUCCCGCAAUUUGGCAAUAUCAACAACGUUUAUUAAAGUUUUUCGAAUGCAUAUCGCAAAUGUCAGAAUAUUCUGUUCAUAAAAGUUAUGGAUUGUCAUGCCUUUUUCCAAUGACCCUUAUUUAGGGUAAAGUAACACCAAACAAAGUAUUUGUGAGACAGUUUAACCUUUUGGCCGCCAGAGACUUAAACGGAAAAUCGUGACCACGACGCCACUUUUAUGUUAGCAUAAUUUCUUUACCCAUCCUUAAUUUACCCCCGUGGCGUCAGUGGCACGGUUUUCCGUUGACGUCAUUUGCUGUAUUUGGCGUUCAAAAGGUUAAAAACAUAAAAUUUACCAUAAAUUAAGACCCAUAAAAUUGUAAACAUCUGCGGCGAUUUAUGAUGAUUGUGUUAACUAAACGUAACAUAAGCAUUUGUAAAUGUAAUCAAUUUUAGCAUAUUACUUACCAAAACUCACCUGUGCUAUUCCAUUUCCCUGUUAUCCCCAAUCGUGCUGGUAGCAGCGAAGUGCAAUGCUUUCUACCUUUCCCCAAAAUCUCAGUCCUGCGAGUGCGAGGUGCAAAAUGUAAGUAUUUAUCAAAAAGGGACGGCUGUUUCGCAGGCUAGAUAAUGUUUCCUCCUCUCUUGUACUAGGCCGACUAGUACUCCGAUGCGCCUAUCUCCUCCUUCCUUAUAUCCGUAGCUAGUUAUCAGAAAAAUAAAAAAUAAAUCAUCCGUUUGUUUUUCUUAUGCAACAGGCGUUUAAAGGAGGUCAAAAAAGACAAGUGGCGUGGGUAACAAUUUGAGGCGAAGUAUUUUUUGACUCAGUUAAACAC
rnacentral:lncRNA from 1 species